CAGGUGCUCCCACCCUGUCCCAGGUGAGUCCCAGGUGCUCCCACCCUGUCCCAGGUGAGUCCCAGGUGCUCCCACCUUGUCCCAGGUGAGUCCCAGGUGCUCCCACCUUGUCCCUGGUGAGUCCCAGGUGCUCCCACCCUGUCCCAGGUGAGUCCCAGGUGCUCCCACCCUGUCCCAGGUGAGUCCCAGGUGCUCCCACCCUGUCCCAGGUGAGUCCCAGGUGCUCCCACCCUGUCCCAGGUGAGUCCCAGGUGCUCCCACCCUGUCCCAGGUGAGUCCCAGGUGCUCCCACCCUGUCCCAGGUGAGUCCCAGGUGCUCCCACCCUGUCCCAGGUGAGUCCCAGGUGCUCCCACCCUGUCCCAGGUGAGUCCCAGGUGCUCCCACCUUGUCCCAGGUGAGUCCCAGGUGCUCCCACCUUGUCCCAGGUGAGUCCCAGGUGCUCCCACCUUGUCCCAGGUGAGUCCCAGGUGCUCCCACCUUGUCCCAGGUGAGUCCCAGGUGCUCCCACCUUGUCCCUGGUGAGUCCCAGGUGCUCCCACCUUGUCCCAGGUGAGUCCCAGGUGCUCCCACCUUGUCCCAGGUGAGUCCCAGGUGCUCCCACCUUGUCCCAGGUGAGUCCCAGGUGCUCCCACCCUCUUCCAGAGAAGCUCUGGCUGCUCCUGGAUCCCUGGAAGUGUCCAAGGCCGGGAUAUUUUUUACUAUUUAGGAAAAAAAUCCACUUUAUUUAAGAAAAAAACCCUUUUUUAGUUGUAAUUCUCAUGUUUUUCCCUCACAAUUCCAAGGCCAGGAUAAUUUUUACUAUUUAGGAAAAAAAAUCCACUUUAUUUAAGAAAAAACUCUCUUUUAGUUGUAAUUCUCAUGUUUUUCCCUCACAAUUCCACUCUGGCACUGGAAUUACCACAAUUUGCUGUGGCAAAGGAUAGAAUUUAACCAGUUGAAUUCAUUUAUGAUUUCAUUUCAUUGAAAUGAAAGAAUUUAAUGAAAUCUUCUGGGUUGGGAUCUGUCGUCUCCAUGGAGAUGAAGGAAGUUCCUCAUCUCUGCCACGAGGAUUGGGAAUAAACAAGGAGGGCUGGAAUGACAAUGGAUAUUUCAGCUGAUAAUUAACUGAAUUUAGAGCAGUUUUCCUCAGAACCUGCAUUAAAAUCACAUUUUAAUGAGGAUAUGGGGUCACUGUGACCCUGCUUGGCACUGUAAAUAAAUUAAAAGUGAGAAGCCAAGAGCAUCCCUGAAAUCUGGGCUGGCUUUGCUUUGUUUUGUUGUCACUUUUGGGUUGGUUUUUUUUUGCCUUUCUUUGUGCACAGAUAUGGGAGGAACAUGAAUUAAAGUGGUUUUUUUUUUUUUGAUUAUUUUU